GAGAUGGGAAGUUCUUAGAGUUACUCCCACAGGUGAAUGUCCCUUUCUAGACAAGACUGUGUAAAUAGCUCUUGGUUACUGCCCAAUGUUCUAUCUGAACAACUUGUGUAUGAUCAGGCAGAGAAAAGAUGCCUUCUGAGAAAGUCUUUGGGGAGAAAAGUACUAUCUGAACUGGAGAUGGUCCAACUGGAAAAAGUUUUGCAUGCCUCUGCUUGGCUAACUGCUACCUGAUUCUUCGUUCCAGAGGAAAACAGUGUAUCUGCUGUUAGUGUUGGACAAGUUACUCUGUCCAUGUUCUUUGUUUCCUUCCCUUCCCUGAGAUACAACCACACCUAAUUUCCUGAGCCUAAACACCCCUGAACACCGACGAAGGAGUAACCCCAAAAGUUAGGUAAGCAUUGC